AAGAAGGCCUUUGCAGCAUGGCCGCCGGCACUGCAGCUGCCUUAGCGUUUUUGAGUCAGGAAAGCCGAACGCGGGCCGGAGGUGUAGGGGGCCUACGGGUCCCGGCCCCGGUCACUAUGGACAGUUUUUUCUUCGGCUGUGAGCUCUCCGGUCACACCCGCUCCUUCACCUUUAAGGUAGAGGAAGGGGAUGAUGCAGAGCACGUGCUGGCACUAACCAUGCUCUGCCUCACCGAGGGAGCCAAGGACGAGUGUAAUGUGGUAGAAGUUGUGGCCCGGAACCAUGACCAUCAGGAGACCGCAGUCCCUGUGGCCAACCUCAAGCUGUCCUGCCAACCCAUGCUCAGUCUCGAUGACUUCCAGUUCCAACCACCUGUAACCUUCCGCCUGAAGUCGGGCUCUGGCCCUGUGCGGAUCACUGGGCGGCACCAGAUUGUUAAGAUGAGCAAUGAUGUUUCUGAGGAGGAGAGCGAGGAAGAGGAAGAGGACAGUGAUGAGGAAGAAGCUGAGCUGUGCCCCAUCCUUCCUGCCAAAAAGCAGGGGGGCAGGCCCUAGCCCUCCUUGGUCAGCUCCAUGCGCCAUGCACCGCCAUGCACCCUGUUCCCCUACAAGUUUCAACAAUUGUAAAUGUUUCUUCCUUGAAGAGGAGAGCUUGGGUGGGGGUUGGGUGGGAGGGACUUGGGUCUUUGGUGCUAGGAGAGGGCCUGU